AUACGGAGGGGGUUAGCGUUGUUCGGAAUUACUGGGCGUAAAGCGCACGUAGGCGGACUGGAAAGUUGGGGGUGAAAUCCCGGGGCUCAACCCCGGAACUGCCUCCAAAACUUCCAAUGUAGAGUUCGAGAGAGGUGAGUGGAAUUCCAAGUGUAGAGGUGAAAUUCGUAGAUAUUUGGAGGAACACCAGUGGCGAAGGCGGCUCACUGGCUCGAUACUGACGCUGAGGUGCGAAAGCGUGGGGAGCAAACAGGAUUAGAAACCCGUGUAGUCC
rnacentral:rRNA from 1 species